GGGGCUGUAGCUCAGUGGCAGAGUGCUUGCCUGGCAUGCGUGGGGCACUGGGUUCGAUCCCUAGCACCA
rnacentral:tRNA from 1 species